UACGUUCCCGGGCCUUGUACACACCGCCCGUCACACCAUGGGAGUGGGUUGUACCAGAAGUAGGUAGUUUAACCGUAAGGGGAACGCUUACCACGGUAUGGUUCAUGACUGGGGUGA
rnacentral:rRNA from 1 species